AGUAGAUGGUGGCCUUGCACAGGAAUCUGAGUCCACAGAGGGUGAACAAGUAGAUGGUGGCCUUGCACAGGAAUCUGAGUCCACAGAGGGUGAACAAGUAGAUGGUGGCCUUGCACAGGAAUCUGAGUCCACAGAGGGUGAACAAGUAGAUGGUGGCCUUGAACAGGCAUCUGAGUCCACAGAGGGUGAACAAGGUAGGAAGAUACUGUAUUUAUGGUCCGCAUAGUUUUGGCCAUGAAAUGAGUUGACAAUAAAAUAAAAACAAUAUUUUUUCACUUCUACAGUAUUAUUCGAA